rnacentral:tRNA from 1 species
AAGCUCUGGCCGCUCCGGCGGCGUGGCCAAAUUUGCAAUUUGGCUCGCACAGAACU